UACAGAGGUCCCAAGCGUUGUUCGGAUUCACUGGGCGUAAAGGGUGCGCAGGCGGCCGUGUGUGUGAGGCGUGAAAGCCCGGGGCUUAACCCCGGAAUUGCACCUCAAACUACACGGCUAGAGCAUUGGAGAGGGUAGCGGAAUUCACGGUGUAGCAGUGAAAUGCGUAGAUAUCGGAAGGAACACCAGUGGCGAAAGCGGCUUCCUGGUCCGACACCGACGUUCAGGCACGAAAGCGUGGGGAGCAAACAGG
rnacentral:rRNA from 1 species